rnacentral:rRNA from 1 species
GUGGCGGAAGGUUCACACAUGUCAGUCGAACGGCAGCACGGGAGCUUGCUCCUGGUGGCGAGUGGCGAACGGAUUAUGUAUCGGAACGUACCCCGUCGUGGGGGAUAACUCUCCGAAAGGAGAGCUAAUACCGCAUACGACCCGAGGGUGAAAGCGGGGGACCUGUGGUAACCUGGGCCUCGCGCGAUGGGAGCGGCCGAUAUCGGAUUAGCUAGUUGGUGGGGUAAAGGCCUACCAAUGCGACGAUCCGUAGCGGGUCUGAGAGGACGACCCGCCACACUGGAACUGAGACACGGUCCAGACUCCUACGGGAGGCAGCAGUGGGGAAUUUUGGACAAUGGGCGCAAGCCUGAUCCAGCCAUUCCGCGUGAGUGAAGAAGGCCUUCGGGUUGUAAAGCUCUUUCAGCAGGAACGAAACGGUGGGUCUUAAUACGGCCUGCUAAUGACGGUACCCGCAGAAGAAGCACCGGC